rnacentral:rRNA from 1 species
AGUCUGGAGUGAAAGGCGACGGCUCAACCGUCGACGCGCUUCGGAAACUGGGGGACUUGAGGGCAGGAGAGGCGAGCGGAAUUCCCGGUGUAGCGGUGAAAUGCGUAGAGAUCGGGAAGAACACCAGUGGCGAAGGCGGCUCGCUGGACUGGCCCUGACGCUGACGCGCGAAAGCGUGGGGAGCGAACGGGAUUAGAUACCCCGGUAGUCCACGCCGUAAACGAUGGGCACUAGGUGUGGGAGGUAUCGACCCCUCCCGUGCCGGAGAUAACACACUAAGUGCCCCGCCUGGGGAGUACGGCCGCAAGGUUGAAACUCAAAGGAAUUGACGGGGGCCCGCACAAGCAGUGGAGCAUGUGGUUUAAUUCGACGCAACGCGAAGAACCUUACCCGGGCUUGACAUCCCCGGAACACCCGAGAGAUCGGGUGGCUCUACGGAGCCGGGAGACAGGUGCUGCAUAGUUGUCGUCAGCUCGUGUCGUGAGAUGUUGGGUUAAGUCCCGCAACGAGCGCAACCCUUGUCCCGUGUUACCAGCGUAAAGGCGGGGACUCACGGGAGACUGCCGGUGACAAACCGGAGGAAGGUGGGGAUGACGUCAAAUCAUCAUGGCCCUUAUGUCCGGGGCUACACACGUGCUACAAUGGCCGGCACAGCGGGAUGCGAAGGGGCGACCCGGAGCGAAUCCCUGAAAGCCGGUCCCAGUUCGGAUCGCAGGCUGAAACCCGCCUGCGUGA